rnacentral:rRNA from 1 species
CCUACGGGUGGCAGCAGUGAGGAAUAUUGGUCAAUGGGCGCGAGCCUGAACCAGCCAAGUCGCGUGAGGGAUGACUGCCCUACGGGUUGUAAACUUCUUUUAUCAAGGCAUAAAGUGAGGCACGUGUGCCUUUUUUUAUGUACUUUAUGAAUAAGCAUCGGCUAACUCCGUUCCAGCAGCCGCGGUAAUACGGAGGAUCCGAGCGUUAUCCGGAUUUCUUGGGUUUAAAGGGAGCGUAGAUAGGUUGUUAAGUCAGUUGUGAAAGUUUGCGGCUCAACCGUGAAAGUGCAAUUGAUACUGGCAGGAUUGAGUACAGUUGAGGUAGGCGGAAGGCGUGGUGUAGCGGUGAAAUGCUUAGAUAUCACGAAGAACUCCGAGUGCGAAGGCAGCAUACUAGAGUGCAACUGACAUUGAUGCACGAAAGUGUGGGUAUCAAACAGGAUUAGAUACCCGAGUAGUC